CGGAACGUGGCGCAGCUGGAAGCGCACCCGGCCCUGGCCGGUGGAAGCGGGUUCGACCCCCGCCGUUCCGA
rnacentral:tRNA from 1 species